CAUGAAGAGUCAAACAACUUAACAACAAGAAAAAGCACAAUGCUAAGUUAGGGAAAGGUAAAAAUAACCCAUUCCUUCAAGGAGUUCACAUCCCAAUGAAGACGACACCAUGCCAAGACCUGUGUGCCUACAAGAUCAAUGCAGAGCAAAUAGAAGGUUAUUCCAUGACAGAGGAAGAUUUUAGCAUUUGGGGCACCAGCAAAGGACUCCUGCAGAAUUUGGGAUUGGAGCUGAGUCUUGAAGGAAGCUAGAGAAGGUAGGAGGUAAAGGUAAGGAGCAUUCUGGACACGGAGAACAGUCAGGGCAAAGACCCACUCAGAAAAUUGAGGGUUGUUUGUCAGGAAAAGCAAACAGGCCACUGUGACUAGAGUUCUUCCUGGGGAAUAAUAAGGAGGAGGAAAACUGGAAAUUUAGGAAAGAAAUUUACUAAGGCCAAGUCCAACCAGUCAGCCCUCCCUGCAAAUGGGAAACAUUCCUUUGCCCCUAUCUCUUCUCCAACUCAGAUGAGAAAAAUAGAAGAGAAGAAAAGGCAUCAUUUUAAAAGGAAUUCCCAUUAUGGUGUUAGAUGAUUGGAAACCAGAAUAACUUGGUUUCUGGAUAAUCUGCAAAUGGGAUGCAAGACAUUGUGGUGGAAAGAACAUCAGACUUGAGAUUGGAGGAUCUCAGUUCAAAUUCUACCUCUGUACUUCUGGUGUGAUCUUAGACAAGCGAUUUGGCUGAUCUUGCCCAUCUAGAAGUCUAAUACUAUUAUCUCCAUAGACUAUUCUUUGAUUAUAAUCCAUGUAGGACAAGAGCAGUGGGAUGCUAGAAUUCACCAGCAGGGGGAGCUCAGGCAGUAUAUCAUGGCCAGUGAGUAAAUUUCAGAUAAGGCUAAAACCAGAACAAAAACACCUUUGUUGCUGUCACUUGAGAUUACUCUAGCCUGUCCACUUCUGCGAUAAACAGGGGCGUUGAACUCGGCUUACCCAGGGGCCGUAUUUCUCCGUGACAAAUUAUCGAGGGCUGGAGAAAGAACGGGAGAGCCCUGUCGAGGUCCUCAAAUUUACCCCAAACCAGCUGCGGCAAAUCACUUCCAUUCUUUAAUGAAGAACAAAGAAGUAGGCACAUGUGAGCCCCUCUCAAAGCCCCAGUCAUCGGCAGGGAAAAAACCCAGAGGACUUGGACUCCACUGCUUACCUUAGCUUGCCUAAAGAGCAGCCAUCCGUCUCUACUUGAAGACCUCCAGUUGUUGGAAGCCCCUUAUGCUCCCAUAUAACCCAUUUCAUUUUGUUCUGUCGAUUGUGCUAAGUGUUAUUGAAGGGGUGAAUAACAUUAUAAGCAGGUGUUAAGUUACCUUUACUGUGGGGUGUGGUUAUAAUAUACUAUAAUGUUUUUGCCAUAUUUUUUGAAAUAAACAAUGGUUAUAAUAUACUAUAAUGUUUUUGCUAUAUUUUUUGAAAUAAUUAAACAAUGGUUAUAAUAUACUAUAAUGUUUUUGCUAUAUUUUUAAAAAUAAAUAAUGGUUAUAAUAUACUAUAAUGUUUUUGCUAUAUUUUUUGAAAUAUUAAACAAUGGUUAUAAUAUACUAUAAUGUUUUGGCUAUAUUUUUUGAAAUAAACAAUGGUUAUAAUAUACUAUAAUGUUUUUGCUAUAUUUUUUGAAAUAAACAAUGGUUAUAAUAUACUAUAAUGUUUUGGCUAUAUUUUUUGAAAUAAUUAAACAAUGGUUAUAAUAUA